rnacentral:lncRNA from 1 species
AAGCACAACCACUAGUGCUCAAUAGUAGUGGCGGCUUGCUGUGUACUCACCGCCACUAGUGGUUAAAGCGUAUCAGCGGCUUACGAAUUUAUACCAAAAUUCCUAAAGUUUUGGGUGAAUUCUCUCUCAAACUUACUAUUAUUGAAAUAAAAAGAAAAUAAUAGCAGAAAGAAAAAUGACAGAAAAAUAGGCGAGAAAAGAAAAAUCAUACUAGUGGCUGUUUUAGUUGCCCGCACCGCCACUAGUGCUCAGUACUAGUGGCCGUUCAAUUCGUUUCACCGCCACCAUUGCUUCACACCAGUGGCGGUGCUUGCGUUUUCACCCCCACUAGUGCUCCUCAGUGCGAGCUUCCGCGAAGCGGGUUGGGAGUUUAGUCCCACCUCGCUUGUUUACAGCCGUUUCGACCAGCAUAAAUAGAAUUC